UGUGUAAAUUACAUAUAAACUUGCAUUAUGCAUGUUAUUCAAAGACCCUUUGAUUUUAGAGAGACCCUUCUUAGCAACGGCUGGAGCUAUCAUUAAUCUUAGGAAGGAGAAGAUCGAUCUUAACCUUGGCAAGAAUUUCAAAAUGACGUUUGACAUCAAGGAUACUAUGAGGAAGCCUACAGUAGAAGGUCAGAUCUUCUAGGUUGAGGAAAUGGAUCACUUAGCUAAUGAGUUGCUAGAGGAGCUAGCAGAAGAAGAUCACCGUAAGAGUGCUCUGACCAAGAAUAAUGAAAAUGGGUAUUCGUAUUCGGAGACCUUGGGUUAUUAGAAGCUUUUGGACUCACAUAGAGCAAUUGAGGAACCGAACUUCUUUGAGGAUUUGAUUGGUUCUACCAUAGAAGUAACGGUAGUGAGUAAAGAAAGUUCAACACAUGCUUAACCUGCUCACUCGACCAACGUAUUCGAUACCCUUGUUGAGCUCAUCAAUCCAACAUCAGGUGACUGGUCUGAACUCAAGACACCUAAGGUUGAACUUAAGCCGCUUCCAAAAAGACUAAGGUACGUCUUUCUGGGUGAUAACUCUACAUAUCCUGUCAUUUUAAGUGAUAAAGUAAACAAUGAACAAGUGCAUAUCCUGUUAACCGAGCUGAAAAGUAUAGGAAGGCCAUUGGAUAUUCACUAGUUAAUAUAAAAGGAAUCUCGCCUAGCUUAUGCACUCAUAGGAUUUAUCUUGAAAAUAAAUUUUACUCUAGCAUUGAACCUCAUAGGAUAUUGAAUCCUAAUUUAAAAGAGGUUGUAAAAAAGGAGAUACUUAACUAUUGGAAGCAUGUGUAAUUUACCCUAUCUCUGAUAGCACUUUGGUAUCUCUAGUUCAUUGUGUUCCUAAGAAAGGAGGUAUGACAGUUAUUAACAAUGAUAAAGAUGAAAUCAUACCUACUAGAACCAUAAUUAGUCAUAGAAUAUGCAUUGAUUAUAGAAAGUUAAAUGCUAAAUCUAGAAAAAAUCAUUUCCAAAUGCCAUUCAUUGAUCAAAUGCUAGAAAGAUUAGCUAAUCAUCCUUACGAUUGCUUCUUAGAUGGAUAUAGUGGAUUUUUUCAGAUACCCAUUUCAGCUCUCGGGAUCCGGUUGCGGUUCUAAUUCUUAUAUCCAAUCAUACACACGAGAUCUAGUCAUAUUUGACUCCAAAAACACUAACCAAGCUUCUUAUUGCUUCUCAAAUCUUUGUGGGUGUGGCUGAAGUCCUAUGAGUUUUUUUUUAAAAUCUUUUAAAAAGAGAAACAAUACUUUAGCUUUCAGGAUCCGGUUGCGGUUCUAGUUCUUAUACCCAAUCAUACACACGAGAACUAGUCAAAUUUGACUCCAAAAACACUAACCAAGGUUCUUCUUGCUUCUUAAAUCUUUGUGCGUGUGGCCGAAGUCCUAUGAGUUUUUGGUUUUGGAGCUUCUAAACGGAGAAACACUACUUUAGCUUUCAGGAUCCGGUUGCGGUUGUAGUUCUUAUACCCAAUCAUACACCCGAAAUCUAGUCAUAUUUGACUCCAAAAACACUAACCAAGAUUCUUCUUGCUUCUCAAAUUUUUGUUGGUUGCCGCUCUUGAACCCUCACACAUCUGCUCCUCAUUUUGGUCGUUGAUGACGAAUUAGGAUCCGGCCAUUGAUGCUUCCAUAGGCUCAGGUGAUAACAUCGUAUUUUCACCCGCUUUCACUAUCGUGUUUGUAGUUUUUAAUAAGUGUUCAGUACGUGAGUGUUUUUCCACUAUUAGUUAUUUCAAAACUCUUUCCAAGAUAUAUGAACAAAAAGACGAGAAAGCAUGCAAAACAAGUGCAUUAGAAAACAUGACAUCUUUUGUACCUAAGUGAUAACAUUGUAUUUUGACCCGUUUUCUUAUGCUUUUAAGAAGUGUUUGACAUGGUUUUAGUGAUUUUAAAGUUGUUUUCAGGUAGUUUUAGUUUGAAAAGGUCUUUACAGGUUUUUGGGCAAAAUUAAGAACCAAAAGAGGAGCAAACCCCGUUUCUGGACAGAUUCAGAACAUCAGAUGUAUGGCAUCCGUUGAAGGACUUACACUUCACAAAAGUUGAUGAUAUUAGCGUCUUUGGAAAGAUAAAAGAGUCACCUUUCAGAUGGAAGUGGAAUUAGACGAGACCAUCAAUCCAGUCGAGAGUUAUUAUCGAUAUACUGAAGACAUGUCUUGCAGGCUCGAAGAAGAAGCAAGCUGAGAAUGAAGAUCUGAGCAAAGGGGCAAGCCAGCAAAAUCAUUCUCUUGUUAUGUUUGACCAAAACAACGACACUUUACUUAUUUCGACUUGGGAAAAGCCCUAAACUGAUCUAGAAGACAUGGAGCCCUUUUAAUACACCUUGAGACGUCCUCGAAGAAGUAAAGAUCUGCACAAAACUCGGCCUCUUCGCCGUAAGUUCUCUCUUGCACCAUCUCCAUAGAUAUGAACAUAUUCUUUCAUAGUUUUCGUUGUUCUGCAUUCUAUUGCUUCAAGGGAGACGAAUCCUUUUUGUAUCUCAUAGAUGAGUAUUCUGAACCAUAUCACUUCUCUAUUUAUGUUUAUUAUUUCGUUUUCCCUUUACUUUUAUCUCUUCUUAUUCGAUUAGUUGCUUUGUUAUAGAACUAGGGUUUUCUCGAUGGGAUUAUCGUAUUGUUUCGUUUAGUUGUUGGAUAUAGGAUUACUUUCUCUUAGUAAUUCUUCUAGACAUCUUUUACUUAAUGCACCAUAGUUAGGUUCUCUACCUAGCUACUGAUCUAAGAGAACAUGAGCGCUACCCGUGUAAACCUAUUGUCGAAUCUAGUGUUACCGGAGCCUCGCGUCAUAACCUGCGUAAGUUGGGUUAUUGAGCAUUGUGAACUAAUCGAAUUCGUUUUACUUGCUGGUCGAGAUGCGUCGUUGUCUGCGUAAGUUGAGUAACGGAGUAUCGAAACUUAGACAUUCAUUCUAUAAACUAUAGGUGGUUUGUUCAUUCAUGUUUCGUAGUUGAGAAUUCGAGUGUAAUCGACUAAGAUCCUUAAUAUGCUUGAAUGAAACGAUCCUUAAACCCUAUUCGAACUCUUUGAUUUCUAAUGUUUGUUUUAUUUUAUUUUAGUUUUAAAAUAGUUUCCAAAAC
rnacentral:lncRNA from 1 species